UUUCCGUAGGUGAACCUGCAGAAGGAUCAUUCAUAAUAAGUGUGCUACUGCACUUUUUAAAAAUACUACUCACCUUGUGUGCAAUGUUUGUUAGACUAUUUCGGGAAUCUGACAUUUAUACCAACCUUUUAUAGUUUGAAAAACUUUGUAUGAAAAAUAUUAUGAAUACUUAAUUAUAAAUACAACUUUCAACAACGGAUCUCUUGGCUCUC
rnacentral:misc_RNA from 1 species